UUUUUUUUUUUUUUUUUUUUUUAGAAGCACACACAUGGCAUACGGAGGUUCCCAGCCUAGGGAUCGAAUCAGAGUUGUAGCUGCCAGCCUACCCACAGCCACAAAUCUGAAUCAAACUGUGUCUGCAACCUACACCCCAGCUCACAGCAACACAGUAUCCUUAACCCAGUGAGCGAGGCCAGGGAUCAAAGCUGCAUCCUCCUGGAUACUAGUUAGAUUCAUUUCUGCGGAGCCAUGACGGGAACUCCAGAUAUUUUAUUAAUAUGUUGUGAUGGGCUUCCUUACUAUGUAGAAAAAAAACAGAGUCCACUGAUUUGAAGUAUAGCACCAGUGGUGUUUCUGGAGUUGAAACCUGGGAAACAGUAUUUGUUGAAUUACUCUAAAAUUUUUUAGUUGGACUUGACAAAAUAAAAUUAAAAAACCAGCAAAAAUAUCUGGUACAGAAAGAGUAAAGUAUGCGGAUUAAAAUUAAAGCCCUCUUUCCCAGGUUUUGCUGGAUGUUAGAAUUCCCCCCAGGGGAAAUUCCUGCUUCUCAAAAUAGCAAGUAUGCCCUGAGAGAGAGAGAGAGAGAGAGAGAGAGAGAGAGAGAGAGAGAGAGAGAGAGAGAGAGGUUGCCAUGACAGCGCAGAGGGCAGAGGCACCUAAUUGUUCUCUCUGAAAAGACUUCCCAGGGCUUCUCAUCUCUUACUUAAAAGCUACUGACUGGACCCCUGCCUUGCACAGGGGCUAAUUCUUUGUUCAAUUGCUUUAGCCCUAGAAGUCUGGGGAGUGGAUGGUCUGCCAAAUGGAUCCACAGGCACAAUUGGAUCGAAUCCACACCACCUUCACAGAGCUCAGGCAUAAACUGUUGAGAAUAACUAAAAUUGAUGAAAUCUUGACAAAAAUAUACUUGAGAUAUUCUCUUCACAAUAUUCAAAUAUCCACAAGUACAGAGGAAUUUCCUUUGAAGGCUAUGAAAGUGUGUGCAGUAUCUUUAUCAUAAAAAAAUCUAUGUAGACACCUCAAAUUAUUUUCAGUAUAAGCUUAUGUUUAUGUGUCUUAAUAUAAACACACAUAUUUCCUCUUCAUAGUCUUUACACCUAGUGUAAUUCCUCUCAGCUCUUAUACUUUUAAUUUUUAUAAAAGAAAAAGCUAGUAUUUAAUUCUUCAGUUUUAUUGAGAAAUGACUGACAAAAUGCAUAUACAUUUAGGUGUAUGACAUGAGUUGAUAUAUGUGUAUAUUGUGAAAGCAUCACCACAGUCAAGUUAAUUAACAUGUCCAUCACUUCACAUAGUUAUUUUUGUGUGUGGAUAUGUGUUAAGAACACUUGGGAUUUACUAUCUUAGCGACUUUCAUGGAUAUAACACUUCAUUAUUACCUAUAGUCACUGUACUGGCCAUUCAGUCUCCAGAAUGUAUUGUGUAACUUAAAGUUUGUACACUUUGAUCAAUAAUCCCCUUUUCCCCCAUCUCAAGGCUCUUGAUAAGCAUCAUUCUUCUCUCUAUUAUUGUGAACUUAUCUUUUUUUAGACCCCACAUGUAGUUGAAAUCAUGCAGUCUUUGUCAUUCUGUAUCUGACUUACUUCACUCACCAUAAUGUCCUCUAAGUUCAUCCGUGAUGUUGCUCAUGGCAUGUUUUCCUUCUUUUUUAAAGGCUGAUAAUAUUCUAGAGUUCUCAGCCCCCGCCCCUUUUUUUCUUGCUUUUUAGGGCUGUGCCUAUGGCAUAUGGAAGUUUCCAGACUAGGGGUUGGUUGAAUUGGAGCUACAGCUGCAGGUCUACAACACAGCCAUGGCAACACCAGAUCUGAGCCACAUCUGCAACCUAUGCCAGAGCUCCUGGCAAUGCUGGAUCCUUAAUCCUGAGUGAAACCAGAGAUCGAACCUGCAUCCUCAUGGAUACUAGUUGGGUUUGUUUCCACUGAGCCACAAUGGGAACUCCCUUUUUUAUAUUCUUUGAGUCCCUUCUUAUAGACCAGAGAGACAACCAUUUAGUUGACUCCCCAUUGUUUGUCAAAAUGAAGCCCUUUGUUGAGUUCAUAGUAAUGUAUCUUGAUCAGGUGUCAUUAGGACAAAACAGGGAAUAUUAGAUAAAGUUAGUAAAACAUGACAGAUUAAGAAGGGAAAAUAUAUAGAGUGGAAUAAAUGGAUAUUUCAGCGAUUGUAAGGUCUCAGAUUCUUCAUCAUGACAGUAUUUCUUUCCUGCUUGCAAGUUUUAAACUCACUCCAUCCUUACAUGUGUAUAGUCGUCAUGUAGUGGUUUUCAAAUUGUUUGGAAAGCAGACAUAUAAAUGCCCUAGAGGGGUUUCCCCCAGCUCCCACAGAAGUUCUCAUGGAGAAUGGGACCCUCAUUCCAGAUUCACCCAUUUUUAAGUUACUAAUCAUUUCGAAAAGUCUUUUUUAAAAAAGUGGAAAGUAGCCAACUUUUAGAGAUGUCUAUGCACUUGGAGAAAAUCAGAUAUAAACAAAAUACUUAAUUUUCCUGGUGUCCCACCAUAAAUUAAAAUGACUAAGGACAGAAAUUCUGUUACCACAUUAUUGAUUAUGAGGAUAUAAUUGAAGUAGAUCACAGAAGAGGGUUUCCAUGUGUUUCUAUUGCCUUUACCUCUAUUUCUUACAGGUAAAGGCAAUAUUUUUCAAUGAGGUUAGGCAUAAUUGAAGCAUAUCUAUAAAAAUGCUGCAAAUUAUUUGGAGUUUCAUGUAAAGAGUCAAACCCUACUGGUGUACUGAAACUUCUUGGGAUCAUGGAUCUUUUUGCUAAUCCCGUAAAAUUAAUGGAGUGUGUUCCAUUUAAAAAAAAAAAAUAGAAAUAUCAAGCAACUUUAUAUGUCAUUUCAGGGGCUCAUAUCUCUUGAAGUUCAUCAAUACAUUACCUCUGAGUCCAAUGAUCCUAGAUUAAGAUGUGUGAUAAUUGAGCAAAUUUAGAAAAAAUAAUCUAUAUUUUCUUCACGUUAGUAGUCCAAGACAGAGUAGGUGUCUUUGAGCCAAACUUCUGAUACUUGUCUACAACCAUGUCCCCAGUUCUUCCUCGGCAACAGGCAAAAUGAUGGGAGGGAAGGUGUCUUUAUUGCCCGACAGAAAGUUUGAUCAUUGUGUCUACUGCUGAUUCCCAGGGGUUUCCUACCAAUUCUAUCUAUGAGCCCACAACACUCAACUCCUGCCCCUGGAAGAAAGCCCCCGUGUGUCAAGACCAUAUGUCUUUGGGAGUUCCCAUCAUGGCUCAGUGGUUUAUGAACCCAAAUAGGAUCCAUGAGGAUGUGGGUUCAAUCCCUGGCCUCGCUCGGUGGGUUAAGGAUCUGGCAUCGCCAUGAGCUGUGGUGUAGGUCGCAGACAUGGCUUGGAUCUUGCAUGACUGUGGUGUAGGCUGGCAGCUGUAGCUCUGAUUUCAAACCCUAGUGUGGGAACUUCCACAUGCUGUGGGUAUAGCCUCAAAAAGCAUAAUAAAAAUAAAGACCACGCAUUUUUAGAAUUUGCCCCAUGUUGGUAAGUUUGAGAAUGCAAAGGAGAACUAGAAGAAGAUCUCCUACUCAAAUAGCCGUAUUACCUAGUAAGUUAGCCUACAUACUCCAUGGACAUGGACAGUAGGUCCUGGAGUGCUGAUUCAGCCAAAAUAGACUCUACUAACUGAAAAACAGUACCAUGCCCUACUUGUUCCUUGAACCACAAAUCCUGCAGGAUGACCCAGGAAAGACUGUACUUGCACUGACCCCAGCAUAGGAGAGAAUGCUGAGCUGAAGGAACCCACUGGGAUACACCUCUGAACAGAAAGGGAUUCUGCUCAGAAGAGUCCUCCCCACUCUGCUUCCACCUCCACAAACAGUCUUGAGAAAUGGCUGCCAAGGAAACUGGAGAUCAGAACCUUGACACCUUUAUACACUCAACACAGUAUGGACAAGUGCAAGGUCCAUGGCAGAUGCCUCCCAAUAACAUCAGGUAAUGAAAUGUGUUGAUAUUUGCAAAAUUUAUAUUUACAGUGAACUGAUAUUUCUUUAGUGACUCCUUCAUGGCAUUGCACACUUAUGCAUGAGUAAAAAAAUCUAUUCAAAGUACAAAAUAGAUAAAUGAAUUUUUGAUGUAAUAGGGUAGAAAAGGCUCUUUCCUGUGUUUGCAGAUUGUCCUAUCAGUAACAUUACCAUAUUAUUUGAGGUUCUAUUUUUUCUAAAAUGUGUUUUUUCUCAGGAAUAAAUGGAUGACUUUUACAUUUUCAUGUGGCGUUAGCUGAGCUGUCAUUUUUGGACAGCUGAGUGCACAGGUUCUCUUUAGUAGAAUGACCAAUCUCACCCCUUAAAGCCAAAGUAGAUGGGAAUCUUAAAAUAGAGUGAAAAUACUGAUAUCUUCUUUUAAAACAAAAUAGACCCUACAGAAUAGAAGAAUGAAUUGGUUUAAGCUUGUAAGUCUGGAUAAAAGAUUUGGUAGUGAAAGUUGGAGAUAAUUUUCAGGCUGUCUAGUUAACAUCUGGUAGAUAUACACCAUGGAGGACUAUGAAAGAAUGAUAAGCCUCAGGCCAGAAGUACAAACAACAGUGGUGUUAUAGUCUCACUGAUGAAUGAAGAGAAAUGGGGGAGGGGGCAGAAAGAAAUAUGUAAUACAGUACCAACUAUGAAACCUCAAAAUAGAUGCUUACAUGGUCAUUUCAGUCCUAGGUAUUCAUCCAAAUAAAUGAAAAUGUGUGUCUGCAUAAAGAGUUAUAGAAAAAUGUUCAAGGAGUUCCCUGGUGGCCUAGCAGAUUAAGGAUAUGUUAUUUUCACUGCUGUAGUGCAGGUUUGAUCCCUAGCCCAGAACUUCCUUAUGCCACAGGUACAGCCAAAAAAAGAAAAAAUAAAAACAUUCAUAGCAGUAUUAUUCAUAGUAUUUCAGAACUGAAAACACUAAAAAUAUUCAUCAAUGUUUUACAGCAGAGAAAAAAAAAUAGUAUUUGCUUGAUAAGCAAAAGAAAGUAUAUAUUAUUUAUAAUUAUAGAGUCAAUAACCCAUGACAAUAUAAAUGAAAAUAUUCAGGUACAGAUAACUUUAAGAGUGAGGCUGAUAGUUGCAAAUGAGGUUUUCAAAGAAAAAUAUAUUUCACUUAUAAAUUUGAUAUGAAAUUUUUGAUGUUUUACUUUAUUACAGAAAUAUUAGAAAUGUAUUUUAAGGGAGUUCCCAUCAUGGCUGAGCAAAAACGAAUCUGACUAGUAUCCACGAGGAUGCAGGUUUGAUUCCUGGUCUCGCUCAUGGGUUAAGGAUCCAGCUUUGCCAUGAGCUAUGAGGUAGUUUGCAGACCUGGCUCAGAUCCUGUGUUGCUGUGGCUGUGAUGUAGGCCAGCAUCUGUAGCUCUGAUUCAACCCCUAACCUGGGAACCCCCAUAUGCCGUAGGUGUGGCCCUAAAAAGACCAAAAAAAAAAAAAAAAAGGAUAAACAUCUUUUAAAAUAAGUUUAGAUCCUUCACUAGAAUGUAGCACAAUAAGUCUUCCUUUGGCCUUCCGGGAAAAUAGAUAAAUAUCUUUCAAGAAAACUUAUAUUAGGUACUUCUCCAGUGCAAGUUGCUUGAGAAAGCAUCCACUUAACUGUUAUCACAUAUUAUCUGUAGUUGUAUCAACAUGAAUACAGUCCUGAAAAUAAUCAGUUUUUGAUUGUUGAAAAUUUUUAUACC
rnacentral:lncRNA from 1 species